CAAUCAUGUAAUUGCAGGAUUUUCAUCAGAAGGAUCCAAGGAAAUAUUUUCUAAGGACUCAGUGCCUGACUGUGACAUCACUGCUUGAACCUGUAAUUUAUUUUGGUUCUCCUCAGCCCAGCUAUGAAGCACAUUUUCUUUCAGAAGCUGCUCCAAUAUUUUUCCUGUGGUUUACUGAAGCUUAACUUCUGUCACCAUUAAAAACGUGAUGGGCUGCAAACUUGAUACAUCCCAAAUUCCAUCAGAUACCACAAAUAAAGUUUGUGGAGAUUUUACCUUAAAAACCAAAGGCAGGAACACUAAAUUCAAGCAAAUACCUUGAACACAUUUCCUUGGAAUAUCUGUUGUGCCAACUCAAAGACAAUAUUUUCAGAUCUUGGGGACCAAGAUGUCCCGGGUAUCAAAUACUGCUGGUACAUACAAAUGAAAGAAAGCCUCCCCCUAGAAGUUUGGUUCAAGCAUGGAGAAGACUACUGGGGACAAUAAGGACAUACAGAACAUUCACAGCUUAUGACUGGCAAAGUUGUGUCCCUUAUUCAGCAGGGACUUUAUCCAUUAAAGUGACAUUGUUCAUUAGAAAGCUGAUGAAUCAGCCCCAGAGAGUCACAUUUAGGUGAACAGGCAGCAUGCCCAGCCUGCUCCUCCAGGCUGUCUCAGAGGGAUUCGUGGGUUUUGUUCACUUCUGCAAAAGGAAUGAGAAACAAAACAAGAUUGCAGAGAAGCCUUCUUCACAGCCAGCCUCUAGGAGUUGUCCCUAAGGACUGCCCAAGUCACAGCCUUACAGCUCUGGCCAGGUCUCUUGUGCACUCUCAGGAGCAGGAUCAUCUGUGCAAGCUGAUUCAGUCACUCCUGACUGAUUGAAUGUGCUCCAAUCAAACAUAUCCCAGCUGUUGAAAGCACAGCUGGAUUUCCUGUUAACAGUGCUGUUGCUGCUGUUCUUGCUGCUAUUGUUGCUACCAUUGCUUGUGAAGGCUGGAAUCCUGGUAAACAACUGUGGCUGUAAGUUGCUCUUACACAAUUGCUUUCAUAUCCUGGGGCUGUCCUCUCAGUUGUGUCUGACUGGAGGGAAAAAAAGUGCAGGUUAGUAGAGAGCUGUCCCGUUAAGCCUGUGAACACACAGAGUCUGGCAGACCUCCAUGUACUGUCCUUUUGUGUGGGAGCAUGUCAGAGGCGAUGGCUCUGACAAGUGCAUAUACAUGAAUAUAUACAUAUAUUCAUGUAUAUAGAUGUACAUACAUAAACACACACACGCACACAUACACACACACACACAUACACACACACAUAUACACACACACACAUCAAAAGCAGAUACACAGUCAUGAGGGGUGUAUGAGCUGCUGGGUUUAUCAGGAAGAGAUUGUUUGUACAUCAAGCACACAUCACUGAAAUACCACCCAAGUAUCGACUUUUUAUGUUGCCAUUUUAAAUACCCCUCCUCAAAGCAUAUUAAGCUUUCUCUUUAUUAGCUUGCUGUAAGCUUCAAUGUAUUGUUUUCCACCAGCAUAGUCUCAAAUAUUAAGGAGACACUUCCCUGGGCUAGUAACACCUCCAAGAAAUUAUUGGCAGGAAGCCACAUUUGAUUGUUUUGUACAAUAAAUUUAAGUUGAAUUAGUGGCCA
ensembl:lncRNA